rnacentral:lncRNA from 1 species
UUCCCCAUUGAGGCCGGAGACUCCCGUGGCCUUGCCGCCGCCCCCGAGUCCCAGGACAGCCCGGAGGCGGUAGCGACGGAGCACAACCCGGUCAGCGGCCCCUGUCGCGCGUCAAUUUCCCCAGGCCGCUUCGUCGCUGCCCUGGAUGCCACUGCCUGACGCUGCUGCACGUGCCCAUCGACGUCUACCUCGCCAUGGGCGGGAGCCCCCGGGCCCGCGCCACGUGAGUGCGCCUGCUCCCUGCGGCUCCGCGGGAGCUGGGCGGGAACGAGGCCCCCAGCGGGCCACCACGCUGAGGUCGCAUGCGCCGAGCACGAGACAAUGAUGCACAUUUUAAAAUAAAAGAAUGAUGCACAUUUUAA